rnacentral:rRNA from 1 species
AGAGUUUGAUCCUGGCUCAGAGCGAACGCUGGCGGCAGGCUUAACACAUGCAAGUCGAGCGCCCCGCAAGGGGAGCGGCAGACGGGAGAGUAACACGUGGGAACGUACCUUUCAGUUCGGGACAACCAAGGGAAACUUUGGCUAAUACCGGAUACGCCCGUAAGGGGAAAGAUUUAUCGCUGAAAGAUCGGCCCAUGCCAGAUUAGCUAGUUGGUGAGGUAAUGGCUCACCAAGGCUACGAUCUGUAGCUGGUCUGAGAGGACGACCAGCCACACUGGAACUGAGACACGGUCCAGACUCCUACGGGAGGCAGCAGUGGGGAAUAUUGGACAAUGGGGGAAACCCUGAUCCAGCCAUGCCGCGUGAGUGAUGAAGGCCUUAGGGUUGUAAAGCUCUUUUGUCAGGGAAGAUAAUGACGGUACCUGAAGAAUAAGCACCGGCUAACUUCGUGCCAGCAGCCGCGGUAAUACGAAGGGUGCUAGCGUUGUUCGGAAUCACUGGGCGUAAAGCGCGCGUAGGCGGUUAAUCAAGUCAGGGGUGAAAUCCUGGGGCUCAACCCCAGAAUUGCCUUUGAAACUGGUUAACUGGAGUGUCGGAGGGGAUAGCGGAAUUGCUAAUGUAGCGGUGAAAUGCGUAGAUAUUAGCAGGAACACCGGUGGCGAAGGCGGCUAUCUGGACGACAACUGACGCUGAGGCGCGAAAGCGUGGGGAUCAAACAGGAUUAGAUACCCUGGUAGUCC